AUUGAACGCUGGCGGAAUGCUUUACACAUGCAAGUCGAACGGCAGCACGGGGCAACCUGGUGGCGAGUGGCGAACGGGUGAGUAAUAUAUCGGAACGUGCCCAAUCGUGGGGGGAUAACGUAGCGAAAGUUACGCUAAUACCGCAUACGAUCUACGGAUGAAAGCGGGGGAUCGCAAGACCUCGCGCGAAUGGAGCGGCCGAUAUCAGAUUAGGUAGUUGGUGGGGUAAAGGCUCACCAAGCCAACGAUCUGUAGCUGGUCUGAGAGGACGACCAGCCACACUGGAACUGAGACACGGUCCAGACUCCUACGGGAGGCAGCAGUGGGGAAUUUUGGACAAUGGCGCAAGCCUGAUCCAGCCAUUCCGCGUGCAGGAUGAA
rnacentral:rRNA from 1 species